GAUGAACGCUGGCGGCGUGCCUAAUACAUGCAAGUCGAGCGAACGGACGAGAAGCUUGCUUCUCUGAUGUUAGCGGCGGACGGGUGAGUAACACGUGGAUAACCUACCUAUAAGACUGGGAUAACUUCGGGAAACCGGAGCUAAUACCGGAUGAUAUUUUGAACCGCAUGGUUCAAAAGUGAAAGACGGUCUUGCUGUCACUUAUAGAUGGAUCCGCGCUGCAUUAGCUAGUUGGUAAGGUAACGGCUUACCAAGGCAACGAUGCAUAGCCGACCUGAGAGGGGGGUCGGCCACACUGGAACUGAGACACGGUCCCGACUCCCACGGGAGGCAGCAGUAGGGAAUCUUCCGCAAUGGGCGAAAGCCUGACGGAGCAACGCCGCGUGAGUGAUGAAGGUCUUCGGAUCGUAAAACUCUGUUAUUAGGGAAGAACAUAUGUGUAAGUAACUGUGCACAUCUCGACGGUACCUAAUCAGAAAGCCACGGCUAACUACGUG
rnacentral:rRNA from 1 species